rnacentral:rRNA from 1 species
AUUGAACGCUGGCGGCAGGCCUAACACAUGCAAGUCGAGCGAGAGGCGGACGGGGGAGUAAUGUCUGGGAAACUGCCUGAUGGAGGGGGAGAACGACAGGAAACGGUAGCUAAGACCGCAUACCAUGAGAUGUGCCCAGAGGGGAUUAGCUAGUAGGUGGGGUAACGGCUAACCAAGGCGACGAGCCCUAGCUGGUAUGAGAGGAUGACCAGCCACACUGGAACUGAGACCCGGUCCAGACUCCUACGGGAGGCAGCAGUGGGGAAUAUUUCACAAUGGGCGCAAGCCUGAUGCAGCCAUGCCGCGUGUGUGAAGAAGGCCUUCGGGUUGUAAAGCACUUUCAGCGGGGAGGCGUUACCCGCAGAAGAAGCACCGGCUAACUCCGUGCCAGCAGCCGCGGUAAUUC